rnacentral:rRNA from 1 species
GACGAACGCUGGCGGCGUGCUUAACACAUGCAAGUCGAACGGAAAGGCCCGGCUUUUGUGGGGUGCUCGAGUGGCGAACGGGUGAGUAACACGUGAGUAACCUGCCCUUGACUUUGGGAUAACUUCAGGAAACUGGGGCUAAUACCGGAUAGGAGCUCCUGCUGCAUGGUGGGGGUUGGAAAGUUUCGGCGGUUGGGGAUGGACUCGCGGCUUAUCAGCUUGUUGGUGGGGUAGUGGCUUACCAAGGCUUUGACGGGUAGCCGGCCUGAGAGGGUGAACGGCCACCUUGGGACUGAGAUACGGCGCAGACUCCUACGGGAGGCAGCAGUGGGGAAUAUUGCACAAUGGGCGGACGCCUGAUGCAGCAACGCCGCGUGCGGGAUGACGGCCUUCGGGUUGUAAACCGCUUUCGCCUGUGACGAAGCGUGAGUGACGGUAAUGGGUAAAGAAGCACCGGCUAACUACGUG